rnacentral:rRNA from 1 species
UACGUAGGGCGCGAGCGUUGUCCGGAAUCAUUGGGCGUAAAGAGCUCGUAGGCGGCCGGUUGCGUCUGCUGUGAAAUCCCGGGGCUUAACCCCGGGCGUGCAGUGGAUACGGGCUGGCUGGAGGCAGGCAGGGGAGAAUGGAAUUCCCGGUGUAGCGGUGAAAUGCGCAGAUAUCGGGAGGAACACCGGUGGCGAAGGCGGUUCUCUGGGCCUGUGCUGACGCUGAGGAGCGAAAGCGUGGG